rnacentral:tRNA from 1 species
UCCCUGGCUCAGAUGGUAAAGCAUCUGCCUAGAGUGCAGGAGACCCGGGUUCAAUCCCUGGAUUGGGAA